rnacentral:misc_RNA from 1 species
CAUUGACUCAUAAUCCAGAGCAUUAUGUAUACCCAUUCACCCUUUUUUUUAUCUUUUGAAAGAUUUAUUAAGAAAAGGCUUGGUUAGCAUGCAUUUGCCCAUUACGUCGUGUAAGAGGAAAGCUCUUUCCAACUUCAGAAUUGCAUUCCCAUAUGAAAGCAGAAGACUAAAAUGAGGAUUUACCAUCACAAGUUUUGUUAAUUUCCGUUGU